CGGAAAGAGAGGGAUUCGAACCC
rnacentral:tRNA from 1 species